UUGGCUCAGUAUUUAGCAAAGGCAAGUAACAAGAAUCAGAUUUUCAAAACCUUCCAGGCUCCUGUUUGCAGCAUUAGUUUUUAUCUGAUCGGGAGACCUCUCCAGCAGACCCUUCUUCACAAGAGCGUUCAAGCCCUCGCUUUCCUCAGCUAUAUUCCUACCUAUCCUGUUCCUGAGAGUUCCAAGGCUCAACCAUGUUCCUGGUGCUCCUCCCAGUGCUGGGGAUAAACUUUCUCCUGAGAGAUGGCCAAGCUCAGUCAGUGACUCAACCUGAUGUUCGUGUCACUGUCUCUGAAGAAGCCACUCUGCAGCUGAGAUGCAAGUAUUCCUCCUCUGUGCCACCUUCCCUGUUCUGGUAUGUCCAGUACCCACAGCAGGGGCUGCAGCUGCUCCUCAAGUACUAUUCCGGAGACCCCGUGGUUCAAGGAGUGAACGGCUUUGAGGCUGAGUUCAACAAGAGUGACUCUUCCUUCCACCUGAGGAAAGCCUCUGUGCACUGGAGCGACUCGGCUGUGUACUUCUGUGCUCUGAGCGCACAGUGUCUGGGGCUGUAGGGGGAGCUGAACACAAACACCCAUUUCAGGGGAUUCUCAGACUCACGAUUUCUAUCUUUGAGGUUUAUGAAGCAUCUCUUUGGACUUGGUGAGGAGAGAAGUUGAGCAGUCCCAGCUGUCUUUGCUCCACUAAUUUCUAACUAAAAUAUCCACUGUCUGACUUUGUCUUAGAAGUCCUUUGUGCAUUUUCAAAAUUCUCUAAUGUUCAAUGAUAAUUCUUUAGAAUAAAGGAGACAACUGUUAUUGUCCAUGAGAACUAUUUUCUGAAUGGACGUUAUUUCGAGAGUGACUAGACUAAAUGGCUGAUAGUGGAUACCAGAAUGUGGACAUUAAUUUGUCGUUUUAUGUG